ACAAAUUUCAAGGCUGUGGAACCAGGAGAAGGUCUGAGGAACGGAGCUCCCGGAAGUAAAGGCAUUGCCUCACAUUUGAGUGUUGGAAGGGCCUUGAGAGCAGAGGUCUGUUGUUUAACAUCAUCUUCGAGUGUACCCUAGCACGGCGGUCUCGGCUGGAGAGAUUUUCUGUGUGCUGAACUUAGAUGGAUAUGUCAAAGUGUACUCAAGCUUUCUUGAACUUUUUCCCCAUCUGAAAUCACUAAAAAUGUGCAGUAUUUCAAAAAGCCCAAGUUUGCCUCCAAAUAUGCUUGUGAAAUGUAUUUCAACACACAUAUCCAACAGUAAGAACAUGCUGGCCAUAUCAAUCCUCACAGCAACUCUUUAUUGCAGCAUAUUGAGGUUUAAUCAGGAAACAGGUUAGAGCUUCUAUGUACAGGUUUUCUUCUAGUUUGAGGUUUUCCUGAAAUAUGUGACACAGACUCGUUAUACAAAUGGCCACUAGUAAAUUAUUUCCAGCAUGUGUUACUCUGUCAACAGUGAUGCUUUCACAGAACCUUUGUCCUCCACAAUUCCCCCCCUCCAUUUAAACCAGGACAUUUCCAUCUCAGUGAGCCACUGCUGUAUUUGGGACCUAAGCGAGAAGCUGGAUAAACAGAGGCGCUAUUAUUAUUGUUACUGUCAAUAUAGUUUCCUUCCCUAGUUAUAACUGAUUAUUUCCUUUUUUCCAUUUCAAAACAUUUUUGUUCAAAUGCUUCUGAUGGCUCUCGUCACAAGCAAUAUUCCUUCGGAAAUAAUGCACCUUUUUAAUUUCUCAACCUAAAAUACACAGCCCGUCAUCUCCAUAGUAGGAUGAUGCUGUUAGAGAGAUCAGCUGUGUCUAGUUGGAGAAUUUUUAGGGGAAUAAGGGAUUACAGGAGCGAGUGCUUCCUCUAUUAGUUCGUGCAAAGUGAAGACAAGAAAGAAAGUCUGUAGGAUGUAAGAGGUGAUGUUACUCCAGCAAGAGUUGGGCAUUUGGAAACACAUGGAGUUAAAAGCAGUUUUCACUUAAUGUGCUUUGUUGUUUCUGCUACAAUAAAAAUAAAUAAU
rnacentral:lncRNA from 1 species